UACGAAGGGUGCAAGCGUUACUCGGAAUCACUGGGCGUAAAGCGUGCGUAGGCGGUUCGUUAAGUCUGCUGUGAAAGCCCUGGGCUCAACCUGGGAACUGCAGUGGAUACUGGCGGACUAGAGUGUGAUAGAGGAUGGUGGAAUUCCCGGUGUAGCGGUGAAAUGCGUAGAGAUCGGGAGGAACACCAGUGGCGAAGGCGGCCAUCUGGAUCAACACUGACGCUGAGGCACGAAAGCGUGGGGGAGCAAACAGGG
rnacentral:rRNA from 1 species